rnacentral:rRNA from 1 species
AUGAUCAUGGUGAUGAUGAUGAUGACAACAUCAGUGUUGCAGAAGGUCUCUGAACCAGUAGGCCGACGCCUUGGGGUGCCGGUACAGGUUGGGGCUGUUGAAGUCGACGUAGACGAUGCCGAACUUGGAGGAGUAGCCGGAGAUCCACUCGAAGUUGUCGAGGAGAGACCACGCGAAGUAGCCGAGGACGUUGGCGCCGCCGUCGAUGGCCUUCUUCAGCUCGCCGAGGUAGCUCCGGUAGUACCGGACCCUCGUCGCGUCCCGCAAGUACUGGUCGCGGGUGAGGCCCCCCGGCUGAUCCAUUCCUGGCAACAUGAUGAUAACAAGGUUAUGAUAUGUGCAUGA